GUCUCAUUUACUCAAUGGUCAGAGUACUUGCACAGUACACCAGAGACCCUUGGUUCGAGUCCAAGUUGAGAUC
rnacentral:tRNA from 1 species